GGACGAACCAAUGGUGUGUCAGUUGUCGUGCCAACGGCAUAGCUGAGUAGCCACGUUCGGCAUGGAUAACCGCUGAAAGCAUCUAAGCGGGAAACCAGCCUCAAGAUGAGAUCCCUCACUGGAUAACCAGGUAAGACCGCUAGGAGACGACUAGCUGGAUAGGCGGCAGGUGUAAGUGCAGUAAUGUACUGAGCUGAGCCGUACUAAUGGUCGAGGGCUUACGGUU
rnacentral:rRNA from 1 species